rnacentral:rRNA from 1 species
CAGAGCAGGAAUACCCUGGAGGAACCAGAUUCCAUUUGAUCUUGGAAGCUAAGGAGGGUCAGGCCUCGUUAGUACUUGGAUAGGAGACCAAAAGGGACCACCAGGUGCUGCAUGUU